UUCCUUCUGCCAGGCAUACAAGUGACAUUCACCUGACUGGUGGCCAAUCAGUGGAACAAUCUUCACCAAGGUUGGUUGGCAUCUGAUUGCAGCCUGCAGAGGACUCAUCCAAUGAAGCCAUAAUUUCCUAUGAGGAAGUAGAGAUGCAAGUGGCACAUCUGGGAAUUAACAAGGAUUUGACUCUAAAGAUUUCCCUGGGUCUCUUAAACUCCGCUUCAUUGCCAAAAAGGAGAGUAACCACCAUCAGCUGAGGGUGUGGGACUUUUUCUAACUGCUCCAGCAGCAGCUAGUUUGCAGUUACUAUUGAUGUCUUGGAGAACACCAGGUUUACCUCUCAGGCUUCCUAAGAUUGAAAGGAGGGUGGUGAGAAGUCACAACUCAGGGCUGAGAUUUAACCCUGACUGGUACAAGAUUCUACAUGAUCUGGUAGCUAUACCCCUCAUCAUCUGGAUAUAAACACUCACUGAAUAAAUGGAGUGAUGAAUCAGUGAAGGAAUAGAGACAAAGCCUCACUUUGAGCAAGUCGCUUUGUUAUGGCUUAGAUCUAGAAUGUCCCCUUCAAAGUCUCAUGAGUUUACAGGUGGGACUUUUAGGAGGUGAUUGGAUCAGGGGUACUAUAACCAUCAGUGAAGUAACACAGGGAUGAAUCCAUAGCUGAAUAUGUGGUCAGGAGGUGAAGUCUGUUCAGAAAAUGUGGUUCACGAGGGUGUUACCUGGAAAGGUCUAUCUCCCUCCCCACUCCUCUUUCUCUCUGUCAUGCCCAUCACAACUUGAGCGGGCUCUCCUCUACUGUACCUUCUGCCAGCCAUGUAUGCCGUGGA
rnacentral:lncRNA from 1 species